rnacentral:sRNA from 1 species
AGGAAGGAAAAAAGCACGCGAGCUUGAAUAUCGUAUGAUUGCUAGUAAGAGUUUGAAAUUAUUUAUCAAUCCUAUCUUAGUUAAUAGUUUAAAAGUAGUUUGUUUCACAACUGCAUAAGCUUAGAAAAGUUGAAAAGUGAUAACUCUUUAAUAAACUCUUGGUUUGUUAAAAGAUAUUUUGUCCACUACAUUUUUUUCAAUUGACUAUUAUUUGUCAUAGAUAUAACAGAUAGAACAUUGCAUUCAGAAUAAUGAAAAACGCAUCAAAAAUGGUGCGUUCUGUUUU